rnacentral:pre_miRNA from 1 species
AGGAACAACCACAGUGGGCGGCUGCCAGCUCUGGAGCCCUGGAGUCAGCUCCCGCAGUAACUCCGGAGCUCUCCAUCCACAGGGACUGGAGGCUCCGGGGCAGG